rnacentral:rRNA from 1 species
GACGAACGCUGGCGGCGUGCUUAACACAUGCAAGUCGAACGGAAAGGCCCUGCUUUUGUGGGGUGCUCGAGUGGCGAACGGGUGAGUAACACGUGAGUAACCUGCCCUUGACUUUGGGAUAACUUCAGGAAACUGGGGCUAAUACCGGAUAGGAGCUCCUGCUGCAUGGUGGGGGUUGGAAAGUUUCGGCGGUUGGGUAUGGACUCGCGGCUUAUCAGCUUGUUGGUGGGUAGUGGCUUACCAAGGCUUUGACGGGUAGCCGGCCUGAGAGGGUGACCGGCCACAUUGGGACUGAGAUACGGCCCAGACUCCUACGGGAGGCAGCAGUGGGGAAUAUUGCACAAUGGGCGGAAGCCUGAUGCAGCAACGCCGCGUGCGGGAUGACGGCCUUCGGGUUGUAAACCGCUUUCGCCUGUGACGAAGCGUGAGUGACGGUAAUGGGUAAAGAAGCACCGGCUAACUACGUG